AGAGUUUGAUCAUGGCUCAGGACGAACGCUGGCGGCGUGCUUAACACAUGCAAGUCGAACGGAAAGGCCCUUCGGGGUACUCGAGUGGCGAACGGGUGAGUAACACGUGGGUGAUCUGCCCUGCACUUUGGGAUAAGCCUGGGAAACUGGGUCUAAUACCGAAUAUGACCACGCUCUUCAUGGGGUGUGGUGGAAAGCUUUUGCGGUGUGGGAUGGGCCCGCGGCCUAUCAGCUUGUUGGUGGGGUAAUGGCCUACCAAGGCGACGACGGGUAGCCGGCCUGAGAGGGUGACCGGCCACACUGGGACUGAGAUACGGCCCAGACUCCUACGGGAGGCAGCAGUGGGGAAUAUUGCACAAUGGGCGCAAGCCUGAUGCAGCGACGCCGCGUGAGGGAUGACGGCCUUCGGGUUGUAAACCUCUUUCACCAGGGACGAAGCGCAAGUGACGGUACCUGGAGAAGAAGCACCGGCCAACUACAUGCCAGCAGCCGCGGUAAUACGUAGGGUGCGAGCGUUGUCCGGAAUUACUGGGCGUAAAGAGCUCGUAGGUGGUUUGUCGCGUUGUUCGUGAAAACUCACAGCUUAACUGUGGGCGUGCGGGCGAUACGGGCAGACUAGAGUACUGCAGGGGAGACUGGAAUUCCUGGUGUAGCGGUGGAAUGUGCAGAUAUCAGGAGGAACACCGGUGGCGAAGGCGGGUCUCUGGGCAGUAACUGACGCUGAGGAGCGAAAGCGUGGGGAGCGAACAGGAUUAGAUACCCUGGUAGUCCAA
rnacentral:rRNA from 1 species